UACGUAGGGUGCAAGCGUUGUCCGGAAUUAUUGGGCGUAAAGAGCUCGUAGGCGGUUUGUCGCGUCUGCUGUGAAACCGAGGCUCAACCUCGGGCCUGCAGUGGGUACGGGCAAACUAGAGUUCGGUAGGGGAGUCUGGAAUUCCUGGUGUAGCGGUGAAAUGCGCAGAUAUCAGGAAGAACACCAAUGGCGAAGGCAGCUCUCUGGGACGGUACUGACGCUGAGACGCGAAAGCGUGGGGAGCGAACAGG
rnacentral:rRNA from 1 species